rnacentral:rRNA from 1 species
UACGGGGGGGGCAAGCGUUGUUCGGAAUUACUGGGCGUAAAGGGCUCGUAGGCGGCCAACUAAGUCAGACGUGAAAUCCCUCGGCUUAACCGGGGAACUGCGUCUGAUACUGGAUGGCUUGAGGUUGGGAGAGGGAUGCGGAAUUCCAGGUGUAGCGGUGAAAUGCGUAGAGAUGCGGAGGAACACCGAUGGCGAAGGCAGCCCCCUGGGCCAACACUGACGCUCAGGCACGAAAGCGUGGGGAGCAAACAGG